rnacentral:lncRNA from 1 species
UUUGUUGUGUCGCAUGUGUUGUGACAUGGUAUCCUUGUUAGAAUACCGUAGGGUAUACCUGAGCUAUAACCACCUGUGGGGGUACCACAGGCAUGUCCUCUUGGCACCGAGGCAUGACACCUUCCGUGGCGGUGUGAUCAGUCCACGGCGUCUCCGUUUUGUGCUCCGGUGGGAGUUGGCCAUUUGGUGUUUUGUUGUGGGAGGCGUAUGGGUCGACCCUAGUUUUCUGUUCUGUUCUGUUCUGCGGAGUGGUGAUGUUUGUGCCAAACACGCCUUCCGAUUUUACAUGCAUUGGAUUCGCGGUCCAAUGUGUGUAACUUGCCUGUGUGGCAUUAUUUAACUUGCCUGUGUGGCAUUAUUUGACUUGCCUAUGUGGCAUUAUUUGACUUGCCUGUGUGGCAAGGUAUAUUUCUGUUUUAUUCUGAGAUCGGUAUGAAAUAACAACCAGCCAUUUGAUUCAGCCUAUUAUUUCGUUGUGUUAGAUUUGUUCGUUUUGUUUCAGUUCGUUUCGUCUCUUUUCAUUUAAUUGAGUUAGUUAUUUCGGUUCAUUAUUUGUAUUCUAUAUCAGUACUG